CCUACGGGGAGCAGCAGUGAGGAAUAUUGGUCAAUGGGCGGAAGCCUGAACCAGCCAAGUCGCGUGAGGGAUUAAGGCCCUGCGGGUCGUAAACCUCUUUUGCCGGGGAGCAGAGGGCCGGAAGUGUCCGGGCCGGGAGAGUACCCGGAGAAAAAGCAUCGGCUAACUCCGUGCCAGCAGUCGCGGUAAUACGGAGGAGGCGAGCGUUAUCCGGAUUUAUUGGGGUUAAAGGGUGCGUAGGCGGGCAUUUAAGCCGGCGGUCAAAUGUCGGGGCUCAACCCCGGCCUGCCGUCGGAACUGGGUGCCUUGAGUGGGCGAGAAGUAUGCGGAAUGCGUGGUGUAGCGGUGAAAUGCAUAGAUAUCACGCAGAACCCCGAUUGCGAAGGCAGCAUACCGGCGCCCUACUGACGCUGAGGCACGAAAGUGUGGGUAUCGAACAGGAUUAGAUACCCCAGUAGUC
rnacentral:rRNA from 1 species